rnacentral:lncRNA from 1 species
AGAGCCAGGACGCCUGAUCGGAGGCGGAGCCCCGCGGCCCCGCCUCCCAGGGACGGGGGUCGGUUCCCAGUGCUGCUCUACAACCCAGUUAGUUUAAGCAAGGUGAUGACGGUGAGGCUAGCCCAGCCUCUGCGGAUAGGGGUUAGCUCACCCUGUAGGCGCUGGGCAGUGGGAUGCUCCCAAGAAAGUGUCUUUCAGGUCAGAGAGCGUGCAGUACCAAUGGGAUUAUCCCGCGUGCCUGGCUGCCUUCUGUGUCCGGUCUUUACACAGCACAGCCUUGUUAUCUCGCUACAUAAGUCCCCCCACCCCACCCCACCCCAAUCCCACCACCCUGAUCUCCAGGCCGCGCCACUAACAAAUGGUGCAGUGCUUCCUGGAGAUGUCUCUGUCAUCUGCUUGCAGGUUUUCGGGGGUCUUCCAGGGCUCUGGAAGGCGCUGGCCAAAGAAAAAGCCUUCGGGUUCCGACUCAGAGGAAGAGGAGCAGGGUUUCCAGGGUGAGAGUGGGAACUGCAGAGAGAAGCGCAGCUCGGGAGGUGAUCUUGUCAUCCGAGGAGGCACGGUUCCAGCCGACGCUUGGAUCGGGUCCUUCUUCCUCUGUUCCAAACCCAUCAGAAAUGCCCAUCUCAGAGCCCCCAAGUCCUUGUGCAAGAGGCGGGCCAGGGUUGCGUGCAGCCUCCCGCCCCGC